rnacentral:rRNA from 1 species
AUUGAACGCUGGCGGCAUGCUUUACACAUGCAAGUCGAACGGUAACAGGCCGCAAGGUGCUGACGAGUGGCGAACGGGUGAGUAAUGCAUCGGAACGUGCCCAGUCGUGGGGGAUAACGCAGCGAAAGCUGCGCUAAUACCGCAUACGAUCUAUGGAUGAAAGCGGGGGACCGAAAGGCCUCGCGCGAUUGGAGCGGCCGAUGUCGGAUUAGGUAGUUGGUGGGGUAAAGGCUCACCAAGCCAACGAUCUGUAGCUGGUCUGAGAGGACGAUCAGCCACCCGGGGACUGAGACACGGCCCAAACUCCUACGGGAGGCAGCAGUGGGGAAUUUUGGACAAUGGGCGCAAGCCUGAUCCAGCAAUGCCGCGUGCAGGAAGAAGGCCUUCGGGUUGUAAACUGCUUUUGUACGGAACGAAACGGUCCUGGUUAAUACCUGGGGCUAAUGACGGUACCGUAAGAAUAAGCACCGGCUAACUACGUGCCAGCAGCCGCCGUAAUAC